rnacentral:lncRNA from 1 species
GGGAAACCUACAGAGGGGCCAGAGAGGAGAGGAUUGAAACCUAUAAGCUCAAAGGAAAGAGCUAAGGGAAGAUAUGACAUAACUAUGUGCCUCUUACGGCUUGUGUUUUGAUCUGCAGUCUGCCUAACAGUGACACCUACGUCCACACUAAUGGACGAGAAAGUGUCUCAAUGAAUAGCAUUUCAAUGGUGCACACAACAGAAGUGGAAUGGCCUUUUAGUUAGGAGUCGGAGACCACGCAAAGCAGUUUCGUUUUCUGGUAAGGAGUCGGAGGAGACCAUGCAAAGCAGUUUGCUUUGUGGCAGCUUUCCCAUCAUCCCUGGAGAGUUCCUGGGAGGACGCAGCUCUCCACCAAACUUCCCCAGAACCAUCCCUCCGCUCUGUGGAUGGCAGCAGAUUUAGGACAUUUGACAGAGUUAAACCAGUUGAGGAUACAUGGAUCCAACAAGGUGUCUGCAGCUUUUCUGUAUUUGAUCCACAUGCAGACAGAUAUUAGCGAAUGGAAACAAAUUCUUCAUUUAAAAGAGUCCUUGGCAUUCCUGAGAAGCAUAAAGAGGAAUACGAUGCAAUCUAAGUCUCAGAUUAUCAAAAUGUACAAAGAAUUGGGCUCAUGAAAUAUUCAAAGAAAAGUAGGCAGCAUCUCAUAGAAAUAUGCAUUUGGUUGCAAGGGGUACAUGGAAAGUGUAAAUCUUGAUUUGUUUUCCUGUGAACCCAAAACUGUUAAAAAAAAAAAAAAAAGAAAAGAAAAGAAAAGAAAAACCCAAAAAGCAAAAAACAAAAAAAGCAAAACAAAAGAACCAAAACAACAACAACAACAACAAAAAACCACCACCAAAACCCCCUGAAAUAUAGUAUAUAUUGUGUAUUUA